rnacentral:rRNA from 1 species
UAGCAUAUCAAUAAGCGGAGGAAAAGAAACCAACAGGGAUUGCCCUAGUAACGGCGAGUGAAGCGGCAACAGCUCAAAUUUGAAAUCUGGCUUCGGCCCGAGUUGUAAUUUGCAGAGGAAGCUUUAGGCGCGGCACCUUCUGAGUCCCCUGGAACGGGGCGCCAUAGAGGGUGAGAGCCCCGUAUAGUUGGAUGCCUAGCCUGUGUAAAGCUCCUUCGACGAGUCGAGUAGUUUGGGAAUGCUGCUCAAAAUGGGAGGUAAAUUUCUUCUAAAGCUAAAUACCGGCCAGAGACCGAUAGCGCACAAGUAGAGUGAUCGAAAGAUGAAAAGCACUUUGAAAAGAGGGUUAAAUAGCACGUGAAAUUGUUGAAAGGGAAGCGCUUGUGACCAGACUUGCGCCGGGCGGAUCAUCCGGUGUUCUCACCGGUGCACUCCGCCCGGCUCAGGCCAGCAUCGGUUCUCGCGGGGGGAUAAAGGUCUCGGGAACGUAGCUCCUCCGGGAGUGUUAUAGCCCGGGGCGUAAUGCCCUCGCGGGGACCGAGGUUCGCGCAUCUGCAAGGAUGCUGGCGUAAUGGUCAUCAGCGACCCGUCUUGAAACACGGACCAAGGAGUCAAGGUUUUGCGCGAGUGUUUGGGUGUAAAACCCGCACGCGUAAUGAAAGUGAACGUAGGUGAGAGCUUCGGCGCAUCAUCGACCGAUCCUGAUGUUUUCGGAUGGAUUUGAGUAGGAGCGUUAAGCCUUGGACCCGAAAGAUGGUGAACUAUGCUUGGAUAGGGUGAAGCCAGAGGAAACUCUGGUGGAGGCUCGCAGCGGUUCUGACGUGCAAAUCGAUCGUCAAAUCUGAGCAUGGGGGCGAAAGACUAAUCGAACCAUCUAGUAGCUGGUUACCGCCGAA